GGUAAUUUUGAGAGUUAAUAAUAACAUUUUUAAGCAAGGUUUUAUUCAUUAAAACACAGUAUACAAGUUCUUGCCAUUUAUGAAAACUAUAGCCCUGUGUUAUUGUUUUAAUGUGUAAAAAUUGUUUUAAAUCUUUACGAAUGUUUGUAUUCGAAACCAGAUGUUGCUUAAUUGUUAUCAUCUUUUUACGAAUAUUGGUAUUUUAAUCCAGGUACUGUCAACCAACUGUUAUUCACACCAAGAAAUUUUCGAGAGGUUCACGGAAGCCUCGUUGUCGCGAAUAUUUCUUAACAUGGAUCAGUAUUUGCCAUAUACUUGUAAUAAAAAACAGAUGUGGAUAAGGCUUGGUCACAAAAAUUAGCCGCCACGAUCCAGUUCAUCUCGGGUACAUGUAUAUCGUGAAAUAAAAUCGACGCUAAUAAUAGUUGGUUUACCGUAUUGUCAGUGCUUGUAAUGAUGUAAACUUAUAAAACUAUUCAAAGUUCUAUUCAAGUGCGAUUACAAUAUUGAUUGUCGUUUUGCAUCCUGUGAAGAGUAUCGUGUUAUUGUCUGCUCUUGUAAUGAUGUAAAGAUACACAUCAUUUAAUUAUUUACAGAGAGAUUUGUUUCAUUAUUGUGUCAGCUAAAACUUCGGUACCUGACCUUGGUUUUUGAGGUCUCUGAAGUAAUUUUUUAUGUUACAUGUAUCAACUCUUUUUGCAAACUGCAUUCCGAGUGGAUUUUAUGUAAGAGAUUAACAUUCAUUGUGUAUUUUUUGUUAUACUAUACAUAUCAGGACCAAAUAAAUUGUCGAUGCAUUCC
rnacentral:sRNA from 1 species